rnacentral:rRNA from 1 species
UGGGGAAUCUUGGACAAUGGGGGCAACCCUGAUCCAGCCAUGCCGCGUGAGUGAUGAAGGCCUUAGGGUCGUAAAGCUCUUUCGCCUGUGAAGAUAAUGACGGUAGCAGGUAAAGAAACCCCGGCUAACUCCGUGCCAGCAGCCGCGGUAAUACGGAGGGGGUUAGCGUUGUUCGGAAUUACUGGGCGUAAAGCGCACGUAGGCGGACCAGAAAGUUGGGGGUGAAAUCCCGGGGGCUCAACCCCGGAACUGCCUCCAAAACUAUUGGUCUAGAGUUCGAGAGAGGUGAGUGGAAUUCCAAGUGUAGAGGUGAAAUUCGUAGAUAUUCGGUGGAACACCAGUGGCGAAGGCGACUCGCUGGUCCGGUACUGACGCUGAGGUGCGAAAGCGUGGGGAGCAACAGGAUUAGAUACCCUGGUAGUCCACGCCGUAAACGAUG